CCUCGAAAGUGUAGAUGUCGAGUGAUGGGAUUGAAGAAUGUAUAUCCCGGAAUCGUCAAUGCCACCGUUGUCAACACGAAUCUAAGCCCUGUACUUUGAGCGACCGCCCAACGAGUCAGAUCCGGCGCACGAGAGAGCAAUUGAGAGGGAGAGACACCGAUCCGGCCGGUCAAAUCCGGCGAGAGAAUCCCCGAUCGAGAGAGUCACCGAUUGAACUCCAGAGAGAGAGCGAGAGCCAGAACAUGAGAGAAAACCUCCUUUGAUCGAGCAAUCCUACCUUCAAUCGACUUCCAGAGAGCGAGCGAUUGAGAGAAAAAGAGGGAUCUGCCGAGUGAGAACCAGUAGAACGAGAACGAAACUAAACUUCUCUUGCAAUCCCCGACUGCCAACCUUCGAUCUCCGAUCUUCGUUAAUGAGAGAAAACUCUAGCCUUCGACUCGCUCAACGGAGAAACACUGGAGACAGAGGCGGAAGCUUCCUCUGGUGGACGGCACGCGAGGCCGGGAUUUUGCCCCGAGGAAUGGUGGAUUUCUACCGAGAUUGCCCGAGGCUAGGGUUUCGAGAUCUCCAUGGAAGUUCCAUCCAUCAGUUACAGAGAGAGGGAGGAGCGAGAGAGAACCCGUGAGCGAGAGAAUCCCCCCAUCC
rnacentral:lncRNA from 1 species